rnacentral:lncRNA from 1 species
CGCUAGCCCCUUCCCCCUUGCAGCCACCUACCAGAUCUGCUCUCUCCCUCUUGCAGGCACCCAAACACCAGGUCCAGGACCUAAAAUCUCUUGAGAAGAGGUUGGUACAAGUUUCUCUCAGAUCUGGAGUUGAUCUGAGGUCGUUUGAGGUGCGGGUGAGAUCUCCAUCAACCGAUCUACAAGAAAGGCUGCAGCAGGA